rnacentral:lncRNA from 1 species
UUUACUCCGCAUAUUAUCUUUGUCUUGGGUCAAACUUUCCGAAGUUUGAUCAAGCCUGUGCAAAAAAAAAGAACAUAUAGAAUAUCAAAUAGGUACUACAAUAUAAAAAUAUAUUCCAUAAUGGAUCCAGUACUAUUGGUUUGGUAUUGUAAAUGUCCAUAUUUUUUCCUACACAUUUGGUUUGUAUGGUUAGACUCUGGCCCGAAGGGUGUUCAUACCCUUUGUGAACUACUACCUCUGUAACAAAAUAUAAGAUGUUUUUGUAGUUUAAUUUGAACUGCAAAACAUCUACUCCCUCCGUCCCAUAAUGUAAGACAUUUUUUGACAUUAGUAUAGUGUCAAAAAGCGUCUUACAUUAUGGGACGGAGGGGGUAAUAUUUAGUCAUAGAGGUAGUGGAUUGUAAUACCCAAACUUAUUGAGCAUACAAGAUUGAUUUUGCAAAAAAAAAAAAAAAGAACUACACAAAUUUGAUUCAAGAGGAGUAAAAAGAAAAACAACAAACAAGGCUGGCAUCUGGUCGGUGAUAGAUAGCUAACUCUGGGGCACAUGCUCCUCUACUGUUCACCAUAAUAAAAGAACUAUAGCAUGGGCUUACUGGUGACACAUAUUGUGCCGGCCAAAUGACCAUCCGGACCGACUGCUUACUGUUCUCUGGUACUGGUACUGGUAGUAUCGAUCCACAUGUCAAGAUCAUGGCCACAAGGCGAUCUUCUCCCUUCCCGCUAAUGGUGGCGUACGUCGACGAUAAGAUGACAUCCACUAAGCCCUAUGGCAUGACAGGUGCCCCCCGGUCGCGUCAAUCCAUAAUCCCAUCAUGUGUUAUUAAACCUCACGGCACAGGCCAAAAAGCAUAUAUCCUUAAUUUUCCAACAUCCAGUGGACGCUGCUUUUGCUCCAACUUUGAGCGGGGUGACACCAAAUCACACGGAAUUGGGUGGUGGCCUUUGGUUCCCUCUGCAUUGCAGUCGCUGUCGCCAUCAGUCGUCACCCCCACAUGCGAAAUCAGGAUAAAAAGAGUGGAAAUUCAGUGUUUCUUAUCACCCCCCGCGGCCACGGGCAUCCACAUCAUAACCGAGAUCAGAGCACCACAGGCUCACAUCAUCAGUCGGAAGCCAUGGUUUUUUCUACCAUUUCACAGAUAAUCACUCCAGGUGUAAAAGCUCUGAAUAUAUACUUACAUUGCUUGUCACCAUAAUCUUUGGAACGAACUUGACAAUCCGUCGACUCGUGGUUUGCGGUGGUCACCAUCAUCAUAGGAAGAGAGUUAUCUCCCGGCAACUGAUGUGCACCACAAGAAAUGGAGAAUUAAAACUAACCAAAGGAACCAAAAAUCAAUCUGCUCAAGCGGAAGCAAGAAUAUCCUAAUCUAAUAGUAGCAUUUCACCAUCUUAUCCUACCAAAGGCAAUAACCCCUGCCACCCACUUUCUGGUCAGUUUCACCAUCCUGCAAGAAUUCACAUACCGAGUCAUGACUCAUGAGCUAUAUAUAAAACCAUUAUUUUCAUUUUACCAAUUACUAAGCAUACAGUAAGCAUUGGCAACGUACAUGUGCCACAAGGAUCAGUUUGACACUGAAAAACACAAGAAUUGAUGGAAAACUUGUGCAAAGCAAAGAAAAGAACACAGUUCUCCCUGGACGUUUCAAUGCUUUUUCUCGGAAAAAAAAAUACGAGGUGAACUUCUAGGUUAUAGCCAAAAUGUAUAAAAAAACAAAAAAGGAGAGAAGAAACAUAAAGUGAGCCCAAGCCUUUAUUUUCAGAAAACAUUUUAGCCUUCUUCCCAAAGGCCAAGGAGCAUCAAAAAUAAUUGAAAGGAUUUUGAGAUACACAUAUAUGAGAAAAGGACCUGACUCAAGUGAUGCAAUCAAUGGGCAUAGGAACAGGAACUAAUUGUUUUUUUUAAACCGAUCAGGAACUAAUUGUCACCACACUGAUGAUGACUGAUCAGUGUUCCAAUAAAGAAGCAAGCGAGAAGAGCUCGGAUGCGAAAACAACUGCAGUGUAUGGGGAGCCUUCAGAAAAAAAGAUGCCCAAGAUAAAAAGGUGUAGAGAGGCCACAAAGUGGACUGCAAGAUUGGCAGGUUGGUGGCCUCCACAUCAGUGCUGCCUCCCCAUGCCUUCCUGGCUUGCUCCUGGUCAUGCAAAGAUUGUACUUAUCUUUUUGUGCUGAGGGAACCUCCAGAAACAUACAAAAAGCAACUAAUUCCAUAGCAAUGGAGAAGUUAGGCCAUGAGGAUAAAAUACUGCUCAGGACCCUACUGUCCACAUACCUGCCUGACUUUUCUUAACUACUGUCUCCACGAAGGCAUAUGUAGUAUACAAAAGUCAGCAAAUGAGUAGAAAUUGGGAUCUACACAAGAUCCAGUAUCUAGUUACAUUUUCGUCACAUUCAAUCAACAAAGGCGCCCGGAUAUAGCACAGAUGGCCUAUGUUGUAUGACCGAUUGCUAUAUGAACCAAAUCUGAUGAAAGAAAUACGCAAGCAUUUAGCGAAAAGGGAAACAGCAUGCAUAUCCACUACAAAGCUCACCCUAGUAGUCAUUAUAGAUGCACAAAAGCUUGCUCCCAUGGCGUAUUGAGUGGCAGGUCGCGCAAUCGCAUACACUUUGUAUUGGAGUCGUGUAUAGUCCGAGAUAUUUUGCUGUGCGUGGGAUAAUGGUUGAAAAGAAAGGAAAAGAUAAAGUCCCCUGUGCCAAUGAUAAUGGCUGACAGAAAGGAAACAUGCAUAUGUAGUAAAGAUCGUGGACUAGCAUAUCCAGGAGAUAUAAAAUAGGGAAGAAUCGAGAGACGAUUGUGUCAACCUACAUAUGUGGCCUGAUUUGCGUAAAGAUCGUGGACUAGCAUAUGUAGCCUGCGAGUCUUGUGAGUUUACGAAUAUAUAUUCCUAAAGCAAGUAGGGGCACUCAUGGACUAGCAUAAAACAAUUCUCAACAGACAUGCUUCAUAGCUUAAUAUCUAGUAAGAUAACCAAAAUAAGAACAUACUUUUGGAUUUUUCAUAAAAAAUACAUAGUAUCGGGGUUUUUCUGAUUCAUAAAGAUCUCUAAAGAUCCAUUUGUAAAUGCACGAGAACCAUGUAGAAACAAAAAGAUUGAAAUGGGCCUUAUCAGCAUGCUUAAACUGCAGUAUCUGCAUGUACAAGAUUAUAUGUUCCCAAGAAAAUUCCAGUAAGAAACAUGCACCGGCAACAGUCCAGUUCAGACUUAAAACUUGCCGUUUGUUUUGUCAAAGAAAUUGAUGCUAAAGCUAAGAGCAUGAAAUUAUUGCAUGGAAUUAUUUUUUGACGCAUAUUGUAUGGAAUUAUAGAAAAUGGAACCCAGAAUAAUUAUGUUUCUCUUUCUAUUUUUGAGAAACGUAACAACACCUGCUCGUCGUGCCUUUGGACUAAUUAUUUAAAUGAGUUAGUAAAAAUGAAAUAAGCAUACACUUACUCAACAAACAGUUGCAAAAAUACAUCACGUUUUACGGUUUGCUUCAUUUCUUUUGCAUUUCAGUUAACAAAAUUGCAUGUGUUUGCCUUCACUUCAAAAGUAAUUUCCAUAAAAUAUGCCCACACACAAAAUAAUUAACCAAAACCUACAUGCACAUAUUGCUCUACUUUUUUGGGGAACAUGAGUGUGCUAUUAAUCAAAAGGAGUUAAGUCAACUCACAGAGUAAACCGGCAACAAACAAGAGUUAGAUGCAGUCCAAAUCCAAUAUAUGUAAUACUAUACCCUUCUAAAAUUUGUAACACAGAGCAAGAGACAUGAGAAGGCAAUUUUAAUCUGAGGACAACCUCAUCGAUGAUUCUCUAAAUCAGACCCACCACGUAAAGAGGCCCCAUGAGGGCCUUCUUGUCCUGCCUAUAAAUGAGAAGCAAGAGCCAUCAAACCAGUGCACAACUAAGACAAAGUGGCUUCCUCUCACUAAUACCAACCUUCUUCCCAUCAGGCUGGAGUUCAUCAAGGAUCUAAGCCUGAAACUGGAGCCCACAAGCACACAGAGGAGGAAGAGCAACAAGGCUGGCUCCCAGCCCAUCCAAGGUAGAAGCGAACAACGUUAGAGAUGGUGACAGUGCAAGAUGAGAUGCGCAAGGGGCCAUGGACAGAGCAGGAAGACCUGCAACUGGUAUGCACUGUCCGCCUGUUCGGUGACCGCCGCUGGGAUUUCGUUGCCAAAGUCUCAGGUUUGAGGGGUGGGAGACCUGCAAAUUAGGUAGCCAUUUUUGCAAUCCUUGGCACAAAGAUGCAAACAGCAUGCAAAUAUCAUUGUCUCUAACCAACUAUCUUCAUACAUCACCUUAUCUAUGGCCAUGUAGGCCUUAACAGGACAGGCAAAAGCUGCCGCCUCCGGUGGGUAAACUACCUCCACCCUGGCCUCAAGCAUGGGCGCAUGUCGCCACAAGAGGAACACCUUAUUAUUGAGCUCCAUGCUCGAUGGGGUAACAGGUUUGAUCCAAAAGAAGACCUUACUAAAGCAGCUGUUUUUUUCAUCUACAACAGGUGAAACGCACUAACAUCCUCUCUAUGUAUAGGUGGUCUAGAAUAGCACGCAGACUGCCAGGGCGUACGGACAAUGAGAUCAAGAACUACUGGAGGACACACAUGAGGAAGAAAGCACAAGAGAGGAAGACAAACAUGUCACCUUCUUCCUCCUCCUCAUCAUUUACAUACCAAUCCUGCCUCCUUGAAACUGCACCAAUAAUCAGGAUGGAUGGAGGCAGCACUCAUAAUGGCACAACCUGCUUCUCAAGUGUACUUAAGAGCAACCAGAGUGUCAUGGAUGGAUAUUCUAUGGACCAGAUAUGGAAGGAGAUUGAGGCACCGGCCAUGCUGCCCAUUGAUAAAAAAGCAUGCAGCAAUCUCCCAUGUCCUGUGCUGCCAUCUCCUAUGGGAGAUCGCUACUGCCCUCCUGAGGUAGUCUGGAAGAUGGACAAUGGUGAUCUCAAGAUGUUAGCUCCACAAUUUGGUUAUGGUAAUGGAGAACGUUCCUGCUAUUGAAGGUUCAAGCUGUCAGGAUCGAGGUCAGGUUACUAAGAUACAUAUAUAUGCUUAACAGAUUUCCACUACCUAUGUAGCUAUGUCUGCAUAUACAUAUAUAUGCUUGCCAGAAUUGCCAGUAGCUACGUUUGCAUUAGUAUGGAGGGUGAUCUAAAUAUUUACAAAUCUACUGUAACAUUGUAGAUUGUCAGGUCUGCUUAUGAUGUGUGUGCCUAUGUAGUGUGUAAAAUAGCUUAUGUCUCUUGCCCUUCACAGAAUGGAAUACGAGAGCAAUUUAUAUGCAUGAUACAGAAGUCAAUCUCCAAUGAUAUUUUGGUAAAAAAGUUAGAUUGACACGAAUGAACAUUGUACUAUCAGAAUUAUAAUAUCUCCCCCCACCUGAUUCUAAAGCUACAAACAGGGCCAUGAGAUUAUAUGGCUGUAUCUCAAGGAGCAAACAAAAGAAGAGGAAAAUGGGUACAGAAUCAGCAUUAUUUUUUUCAAAUCGUUCUUGCUAUUACACUCUCAUUUCCUUCGGCAGGAUGUUGAGAUUGAAUGCUCUUGAUAAAAUGGCUUCUGGAACCUAAGGAACGUCAAAGAGAACAAGUAUUUCUCCAAUAAACACGCGGGCCCUGGAAACAUUUUUUUUAAUAUGCAAACUGAGGCUGCUGUACAGACAUCUGUAUGCAUAUUUGAUCUGAGUGGAAUUGACAGACUUGGUGCAGAGUGAGUGGUCUAUCACUUCAAUUCUCUUAAAAAGGCUGAGCAUUAGACUUUGAUAGAACAAAAGAAUGCUAGAUUGUAUUCGACACAUAAGAUUAGCAGGAAGUCGUAGAUCAUCCAUUUAACAAAUAGGAAAGUUAGCACUGCGGCAAGGUAAAUAACGGGAGGUGGUAAGGGACUGGCACAUAAGAUGAGCAGGAAGUUGCAGAUCAUCCAUUUAACAAAUAGGAAAGUUAGCACUGCGAUAAGGUAAAUAAAGGGAGGUGGUAAGUGACUGGCACUUCAGAUUUCUAUAGCCGUCUACUUUGCUGAAAGUAGUAUCUUAUCUUGCAACUGAUAAGCAUGUAUUUUCUUCUGAUUGGGUGAAUCUAGUGCUUGGACCACCUAGACACAACCAUCAUUAAUCUGUGUUCCUCCACAACAUUCAGAACUAGAUGAAAGCUUAGAUGUGGAGGUAGAGUUUAGAAGUUAUAUUUCUUCUCGUUCUUCUUCUAUGUUUAGCAAAUAAAAAUUAACAAAGGACACCAGUCUCAUAUUGUUUCAUGUGGAGCAAAAUGCUGGCCUGGAAGAACUGCAGAUAUUCACCAUAGCAUUCAAAUUCACCUGUGAUUUAUAAUAAUUAUGAACAAAGAGGAAAUCACAAGUACAAACAGGUCGCAAGAUGUGAUUAGCAUGGAAAACCUUCAGAGCAGCCAGUGGCCAACAGUAAAAACACCCAGGACAGAUACUCAUACUAUACUUAAUGCAAAGUCAUCAGCAUCAAUUUUCAAUCAAUCUGAAAGCUCAAUAAAGGAAUUGGUACAUAAUGCAAAGCUUAGUACUCCACUGCUAGUUAGUACCAGAAGGCUCUAGGUCAUUUCUGAGAAAGAAAAUAGGAGUUUCAAAUCCUUCAAUGUAUUUUUUUCUACCUUUAGACAGUCAAAUCAAAUACAAAAAAAUUGCAGCUGCCCAUAGCUUAUCCCUCAGUUCACCAUUUCAUCUGCUUAAGUUCCUCAAGAGGGAAUUCACCCCCCAGUCCCCAGCACACAUGACUUGGAGUCUCACGGCUGGAAAAACGAAUCUGCAGGUACACCAGAAGAUUAGGGGCAAGAAACAGCAGAAUCGCUAGCUGCCCCUGCGACUUGGAUUGCCAGCUACGAUCCAGACAACACCCAAAACAUAUAGAAAGCACUAAUCUACAGCACAUACAGCAACCGCAUCGGCGGUACUUCUUCUCACCUCUCCGACCGUCGAUGUUGCGGACGCUGAGAAAGAUCUCCCCUCGUCGCCGCCGCCGACAAGGAGAGAGCAGGGCUUUCGCAGUAGUAAGAGAGAGGGAGAGAGCGCAGGGAUUGUUUUUUUUAAACGCAGGGAUUGUUCAUUAAAAAAA